UGGGAGAAAGAGCUGCUUAUAGCUUCGUU
rnacentral:piRNA from 1 species